CCUACGGGAGGCAGCAGUAGGGAAUCUUCGGCAAUGGACGAAAGUCUGACCGAGCAACGCCGCGUGAGUGAAGAAGGUUUUCGGAUCGUAAAACUCUGUUGGUAGAGAAGAACGUUGGUGAGAGUGGAAAGCUCAUCAAGUGACGGUAACUACCCAGAAAGGGACGGCUAACUACGUGCCAGCAGCCGCGGUAAUAAGGGCG
rnacentral:rRNA from 1 species